ACGUCAGUAAGUUAUUCUUUUCAGCGUGUUUUUGCAUUAUUUCAUUCUAGAUAUGAGAUUCUUGCUGGUGCAGAUGGACAGUUUUGUAAUAGAGAAGUUGAGGGAAAGGCAGCUUGAUACCUUGGUUAAAACAUUUGAAGAUUUCACAAGACUUCAGGAAGCUACGACUUUUUGUAGAUUGGGCUACAAUUGCAGACCAAAUUGUUGCCUAUGCCCAGCAAGAUGGAAAGGUGCAUUAAGAGCUGGGUGACAUGACUUCAGGCCAAAGUGUCGUAUAAUUAACAGGUGGGGACCGGCAUGGCAGAUUUGUGCCUUGGGGACGAGACAACGACAUCCCAGACUGUAACGCGGAGAGAGUGGCGAGAGGCGAGCGGAUCCACUUGCAAGCUUUUAUUAGGACGAGACAAAGACAUAGUCGUACAGGCAGAGUCAAGCAACAAUAGCAGACAGGUUUAACGUAGGCGAUGCACAAUAGAAGUCCGUGAAACAGGCGAGGGUCGAUCCGUGGCAAACGUAAUCCGUAAGGGGCUGGGCUAGGAGAAUAAACCAUUAAACAGUAGCGAGAGUCCGAAAAGGCAGGCGGCGGUACAGUCGAGAACGGGGAGCCAGGCAAGGGGAAUAAACACUGGGAACUAGGAAACGCUAAACAAAAGAAAACAAUAACAACUCAAAAUACUCCGUGGUUUGCAAGGGGAAAGACCGGGGCUUUUAUAGCGCCGCUGAUUGGUCGUGGGUGAAGUACAAUGGCCGAUGGGGAAUGUAGUCCGGGGUGUAGUGCAACAGUCCGUGUGAGAUAGGGCGAGAGUGACAUCUGGUGGUGAGCGGACCGUGGGACACCGACCAGAUUCGUGACACAGACCUUCGCCUUUGUUAUGGGCUGUGCCACUGAAGCAGACUCGUUGCCUGGGAAUUUCUCCAGCUUGCAGUAUGUUAUGUUGAUGGACAUAAGUCUUCAUGGGUGAAUUUUUUUAAGACCAACAGUGUUUUCUGGCCACUUGUAACAUGUUUUAAAUUGUCAUAUGUAUUGUCUGGUGGACACUUUGUUUGGCUUAGUUUUAAAAGCACAAUGUUUGGAACGAUUCUCAUGUGGUAAUAAUUUGAGUGUUCUGCUGCUGCAGUGUUGACAAAGAAUGGGAAUCUACAGUGCCUAGUUUACACAGUUUUGUGUUUUAAAUUAACUGAUCUACUAAAGUUGUUGUUUUAUGUGUCUGUAAUGGUUGGAUAAAAUGUGUGAUAGCUGCACCCAUUUGAAAAUUGUUUUAAAAAGAAAU